UUAGAAAUUGGGCCCAAGUCGGCGUUCAGAUUACAAAAUUGCAACCGUGACUCAACUCCCAAUUCAAGUUUAAUGGCUGACAAUGGAAUUCAACUGUCCCUUGAAUUCCAUUAACUCGAACCAUUUUCUACAGUGCAAUCUCUUUGCACAACUCCAGCCUUUUCCUCGUAGAUUUCCUGCGCGCCUUAUUGUUGCUUUAUUUUCUUCCUCUUUUCACCGACAGCUCUCUCUUAUGUGUCGAUUCCCAUCAUCCACAGAGAGAUUCGUUGUAAAUAUUCGAGAGGAAAAUUUUUUUCCUCACGUGGUGAACCUCCUUCAUAGAUCUGUUUGUGUAUGAGCGAGGAACCCUUUCCUUUGCCUUAUUCGCUUUGCCCAAAACAGAGAAAAUAGCUGGAAAUAGAGGUUUUCAACGUCCUCUACUGGCUGUUAAUUUUGGGUAGAUGUGUUUAUAACCGGCGACCUCAACCCCUGCACCACCAUAAUCAGUGGAGAUUUUGCCGCGGUCGCUGUCGGGGGUGGAGAAAUUAUGGUAUUGCAUCCACAUCAUAUUUGGGAUUUUUGUUGGAGGAGCACACACAUUCAUCUACCAGAUCGAACUCGAUUUGUUUGUGUAUGAGCGAGGAACCCUUUCCUCUGCCUUCUUCGCUUUGCCCAAAAUGGAGAAAAUAGCUGGAAAUAGAGGUUUUCGACAUCCUCUACUGGCUGGUAUUUUGGGUAGAUGUGUCCGUAACCGGCGACCUCAACCCAUGCACCGCCGUAAUCAGUGGAGAUUUUGCCGUGGUCGCUGUCGGGGGUGGAGAAAUCAUGGUAUUGUGUCCACAUCACAUUUGGGGUUUUUUGUUGGAGGAGAACACACAUUCAUCCACCAGAUCGAACUCGAAUUGCAUUGGAGCUCUUAGCAGGACUCCUGUCUCUUGUGUUCCACCACUCGAAAACCCCGAGGUAUGGAAAAAUAGGAAGGGUUUCUACUCCCAAAAUAUGUUAGGAGUGUGCUACUUCAACAUGAAGUUUACAUACGUGUUAACCGGAUGGGAAGGAUCUGCCCAUGAUGCUUGCGUUCUUGCGUCCGCAACAGAGACGUCCGACAAAUAUUUCCCAAAUCCACCUCCUAGUAUGAGAACAAUGAUCUUUGCUAUACAUUUAUUUUCAGAUCAAAUAACUUUGAAUGAUUUUCAUAUACUGUGAAUUGUUGGCCUUUAUGAGUUGUUGAUAUUACUCGACGCGGCCGUGUUUACUUAUUGAUUUGUAAUUGAUACUAUAGGUAAAUACUAUCUGGUAGACGUUAGUUAUGCUAACAGUGAUUGUUUCUUGACACCAUACCGGGGGAGCACAUACCACCUUCAAGAGUAUAGGGCAAGGCAUGGUCGUCCUCGAAGUAAGCGUGUGUUGUUCAAUUACAUACAUUCAUCCCUAAGGAAUUCUAUUGAGCGCAUUUUUGGUCUUUGGAAAGCGAGGUUUCGCAUACUGAAGUGCAUAAAUAAUUACCCAAUAGAUAAACAGGUACAAAUUCUGAUUGCUUAUGUCGUGCUUCACAAUUUCAUAAAUAUGUACAACCAUAACGACGAUUACUAAACUAGUACACGAGAGAUGGAGUACCGGUUACAAAAAUUGAUCCAAAAAAUGCGGAUCAAUAUGUCAAUUAGAAUCCAAAUCCCGAUCAAGCAACGCAACAAAAUCAGAACCCCCCACAAAUCGUAGACAAAUGAAUCUUUUAAAAGACGAGAUGGCUAAUAGCAUGUGGGGUGUAUUAGAAGCAAAUCGCCAUAUAUAGUUACCUAUUUGUUAGGCAAUUUGGACCAACUUAUUAAUAUGGAUUUGUUAGCCAAUUUAG